CCUACGGGAGGCAGCAGUGAGGAAUAUUGGUCAAUGGCCGGGAGGCUGAACCAGCCAAGUCGCGUGAGGGAAGACGGCCCUACGGGUUGUAAACCUCUUUUGUCAGGGAGCAAGGUGCAGGUCGGGACCUGCUGUGAGAGUACCUGAAGAAAAAGCAUCGGCUAACUCCGUGCCAGCAGCCGCGAUAAUACGGAGGAUGCGAGCGUUAUCCGGAUUUAUUGGGUUUAAAGGGUGCGCAGGCGGAGGCACAAGUCAGCGGUAAAAUCGCGGGGCUCAACCCCGCUCCGCCGUUGAAACUGUGUGCCUUGAGUGCGCGAAGGGUAGGCGGAAUGCGUGGUGUAGCGGUGAAAUGCAUAGAUAUCACGCAGAACUCCGAUCGCGAAGGCAGCCUACCGGCGCGCAACUGACGCUCAUGCACGAAAGCGUGGGUAUCGAACAGGAUUAGAUACCCCGGUAGUC
rnacentral:rRNA from 1 species